CAAUAGCCCCGAUUGGAGUGGCUCCCGAUUUUUCAUCGGGAAGAACGGAAAGCGGGAAUAAGG
rfam:Flavobacterium cauense R2A-7 FCR2A7T_14, whole genome shotgun sequence.